AUACGGAGGGUCCAAGCGUUAUCCGGAUUCAUUGGGUUUAAAGGGUCCGCAGGCGGGAAAAUAAGUCAGUGGUGAAAGCCUACAGCUCAACUGUAGAACUGCCAUUGAUACUGUUUUUCUUGAGUAUAGAUGAAGUGGGCGGAAUAUAUCAUGUAGCGGUGAAAUGCAUAGAUAUGAUAUAGAACACCGAUUGCGAAGGCAGCUCACUAAACUAUUACUGACGCUCAGGGACGAAAGCGUGGGGAGCGAACAGGAUUAGAAACCCCUGUAGUCC
rnacentral:rRNA from 1 species